rnacentral:sRNA from 1 species
GGUGUCUGGGAGAGCCAUUGUACCCAGAAUUAUCAGUUUGUGAACAGAGGACAGCGGACAUGGAUUACCAGAGAUAACAAGAGAGAAUCCUCUCCCCCUGCCCCACUCAGCCUCUGCCAGGCAAGCCCUUCCUGCUGGGUCUCCUUGGUGGCAGAUAUGCAGCAGCUCUGUCUGGGGUGACAUGCCAAGCUCUUCCUUUGAUGGGGAGUAAAUGGCUCAGCCUGGACCACAAAGGCCUGCUGCAGAGCAAGUAACAGUGAGGUGAGAAGG